GGGAGCCGGAUGAGCCGAGAGGUUCACGUCCGGUUCUGAGAGAGCCUGAGGGUGAAAUUCCCUCGGCUACUUACC
rnacentral:ncRNA from 1 species